rnacentral:rRNA from 1 species
UACAGAGGGUGCAAGCGUUGUUCGAAAUUAUUGGGCGUAAAGCGCGUGUAGGCGGCUUAGCAAGUCGGGCGUGAAAGCCCUCGGCUCAACCGAGGAAGUGCACCCGAAACUGCUGAGCUUGAGUGCCGGAGAGGAUGGCGGAAUUCCCCAAGUAGAGGUGAAAUUCGUAGAUAUGGGGAGGAACACCGGUGGCGAAGGCGGCCAUCUGGACGGUAACUGACGCUGAGACGCGAAAGCGUGGGUAGCAAACAGG